GACAGCAGCCGCCGCGGUAAUACGAAGGGGGCUAGCGUUGUUCGGAAUUACUGGGCGUAAAGGGCGCGUAGGCGGCCAUUCAAGUUAGAUGUGAAAGCCCUGGGCUCAACCUAGGAAUUGCAUUUGAUACUGUUUGGCUUGAGGAUGGGAGAGGUGAGUGGAAUUUCCGGUGUAGCGGUGAUAUGCGUAGAUAUCGGAAGGAACACCGGUGGCGAAGGCGACUCGCUGGACAAGUAUUGACGCUGAGGUGCGAAAGCGUGGGGAGCAAACAGGAUUAGAUACCCCCGUAGUCCCUGUCUCUUAUAC
rnacentral:rRNA from 1 species